GGGCCCGCACAAGCGGAGGAACAUGUGGUUUAAUUCGAUGAUACGCGAGGAACCUUACCCGGGUUUGAACGUAGGGAGACAGGGGUGGAAACAUCCUUUUCAGCAAUGACUGCCUACGAGGUGCUGCAUGGUUGUCGUCAGCUCGUGCCGUGAGGUGUCGGCUUAAGUGCCAUAACGAGCGCAACCCUUAUUUUCAGUUACUAACAGGUAAUGCUGAGGACUCUGAAGAGACUGCCAGCGUAAGCUGUGAGGAAGGUGGGGAUGACGUCAAAUCAGCACGGCCCUUACAUCCGGGGCGACACACGUGUUACAAUGGUAAGGACAAAGGGCAGCUACCGGGCGACCGGAUGCUAAUCUCUAAACCUUAUCUCAGUUCGGAUCGGAGUCUGCAACUCGACUCCGUGAAGCUGGAUUCGCUAGUAAUCGCGCAUCAGCCAUGGCGCGGUGAAUACGUUCCCGGGCCUU
rnacentral:rRNA from 1 species